rnacentral:tRNA from 1 species
UGAAAUACUUUUUUUAGCAUAACUGGGAGCGCUCCUGGCUGGCAUUCAGGAGGUGUGGGUUCAAGUCCCACUAUUUCCGCCA